rnacentral:tRNA from 1 species
GGUUAUGGCUCAGUGGCAGAGCCUUCGCCUAGCACGUACAGGGCCCUGGGUUCGAUCCUCAGCACCA